AUACGGAGGGUCCGAGCGUUAUCCGGAAUCAUUGGGUUUAAAGGGUCCGUAGGCGGGCAGCUCAGUCAGUGGUGAAAGUCUGUGGCUCAACCAUAGAAUUGCCAUUGAUACUGGUUGUCUUGAAUUAUUGUGAAGUGGUUAGAAUAAGUAGUGUAGCGGUGAAAUGCAUAGAUAUUACUUAGAAUACCGAUUGCGAAGGCAGAUCACUAACAAUAUAUUGACGCUGAGGGACGAAAGCGUGGGGAGCGAACAGGAUUAGAAACCCUAGUAGUCC
rnacentral:rRNA from 1 species